AGCUUUGCGCAGUGGCAGUAUCAUAGCCAAUAAGGUUUAUCAGAGACACGAUUAAUACUAAUUGAAAACUCUUCCCAAUACCCCUCCAUGACAACUUGAAACAUAAUUGGCAUGGGAAAAUUUGACAGUCUCUAUGGAGA